UAUUGGACAAUGGGCGAAAGCCUGAUCCAGCAAUACCGCGUGUGUGAAGAAGGCCUUAGGGUUGUAAAGCACUUUCAAUUGGGAGGAAAACCUACCGGUCAAUACCCGGUAGCUUGACAUUACCUUUAGAAGAAGCACCGGCUAACUCCGUGCCAGCAGCCGCGGUAAUACGGAGGGUGCGAGCGUUAACCGGAAUUACUGGGCGUAAAGCGUGCGUAGGCGGUUCGUUAAGUCAGAUGUGAAAGCCCUGGGCUCAACCUGGGAACGGCAUUUGAAACUGGCGGACUAGAGUUUAGUAGAGGGGAGUGGAAUUUCAGGUGUAGCGGUGAAAUGCGUAGAUAUCUGAAGGAACACCAGUGGCGAAGGCGACUCCCUGGACUAGAACUGACGCUGAGACGAGC
rnacentral:rRNA from 1 species